UACGGGGGGGGUAAGCGUUGUUCGGAAUUACUGGGCGUAAAGGGCUCGUAGGCGGUUUGUCGCGUCGGGAGUGAAAUCCACUGGCUUAACUGGUGGCUUGCUUUCGAUACGGGCAGACUGGAGGUAUGCAGGGGAGAACGGAAUUCCUGUGUAGCGGUGAAAUGCGCAGAUAUCAGGAGGAACACCGGUGGCGAAGGCGGGUCUC
rnacentral:rRNA from 1 species